UACGAAGGGGGCUAGCGUUGCUCGGAAUCACUGGGCGUAAAGGGUGCGUAGGCGGGUCUUUAAGUCAGGGGUGAAAUCCUGGAGCUCAACUCCAGAACUGCCUUUGAUACUGAGGAUCUUGAGUACGGGAGAGGUGAGUGGAACUGCGAGUGUAGAGGUGAAAUUCGUAGAUAUUCGCAAGAACACCAGUGGCGAAGGCGGCUCACUGGCCCGUUACUGACGCUGAGGCACGAAAGCGUGGGGAGCAACAGG
rnacentral:rRNA from 1 species